CAGAGGUUGCAGUAAGCUGAGAUUGCACCACUGCACUCCAGCCUGGGCAACAGAGCAAGACUGUCUCAAAAACAAACAACAACAACAACAACAACAACAACAAAAGGGAUGUGGAAACCGAAGCUAAGAAACCAAAUCAGGCUGCUCGUCAGUCACCAGAGUCGUUAGAAUACAGAACACAUCAAGCCCACCUUCAGACCUACUGAAUGAGAACCUCAGGUGGUCUCCAAUGUACCUCACCUCCAUUUAGGAACCCCUGGAUCUCUGGGUGAUCACAGCACUGGGAGCUCCAUAUGACACUCUCCUCCACUGUCUCUCCAUUUAUCCAUCAUCUCCCAGUGAAGUGUUUCUUGAUUGACCAUAAACUCCUCAUCUGGUAACUCUUCUUGGUCCAGAUUUAAACCACAACCCUGGGAAUCAAG
rnacentral:lncRNA from 1 species